rnacentral:rRNA from 1 species
UACGUGAGGGGCGAACGUUGUUCGGUGUCACUGGGCUUAAAGGGUGCGUAGGUGGUUGUGUAAGUAACAUGUGAAAUCCCCCGGCUUACCCGAGGAAUUGCGUGUUAUACUGCACGGCUUGAGGUACAGAGGGGAAAGAGGAACUCCAGGUGUAGCGGUGAAAUGCGCAGAUAUCUGGGGGAAGGCCGGCGGCGAAGGCGUCUUUCUGGCUGUAACCUGACACUGAGGCACGAAAGCGUGGGGAGCAAACAGG